AACGCGAUAAGCACUCCGCCUGGGGAGUUCGGCCGCAAGGCUGAAACUCAAAGGAAUUGACGGGGGCCCGCACAAGCGGUGGAGCAUGUGGUUUAAUUCGAAGCAACGCGAAGAACCUUAUCAGGUCUUGACAUCCCCUGACAACCCAAGAGAUUGGGCGUUCCCCCUUCGGGGGGACAGGGUGACAGGUGGUGCAUGGUUGUCGUCAGCUCGUGUCGUGAGAUGUUGGGUUAAGUCCCGCAACGAGCGCAACCCUCGCCUCUAGUUGCCAGCACGAAGGUGGGCGCUCUAGAGGGACUGCCGGCGACAAGUCGGAGGAAGGUGGGGAUGACGUCAAAUCAUCAUGCCCCUUAUGACCUGGGCUACACACGUGCUACAAUGGGCGGUACAAAGGGCUGCGAACCCGCGAGGGGGAGCGAAUCCCAAAAAGCCGCUCUCAGUUCGGAUUGCAGGCUGCAACUCGCCUGCAUGAAGCCGGAAUCGCUAGUAAUCGCGGAUCAGCAUACCGCGGUGAAUACGUUCCCGGGCCUUGUACACACCGCCCGUCACACCACGAGAGCUUGCAACACCCGAAGUCGGUAAGGUAACCCUUACGGGAGCCAGCCGCCGAAG
rnacentral:rRNA from 1 species